AGUGCCUUAUAACAUGUCUUUAUAACUGGCUGUGUAAGAAUGAAGAAAAGCUGUCCAUCUUCUGAGAAGCCCACUUCUCCACCAAGGUGCUCAGUUUUAGGAGUGGAGAACAGGGGCCACGGAAAAUACAUUGCUCCCCAGCUCCCAGCUCUCUUUACUUUCUCCCAGGAAGCAGCAUGUGCCAUCCUUCUGUCAGAAAACACCAAAGAGAUGAAGAAAUGAGAAAUCCAGAAACCAAAGACCUUGCUCUUUUGUCAAACAGACUUGGUAGAGCAGAGUUGCAAAAUCAGACCUUUGGGGGCUUGCGUGUUUCUCCUCUUACUCCCUGGUAAGCCCUGCCUUGAACUUCAGGCUGCCUGGCUUGGAUCCUGAUGCUGCUUUGCUGACACAAUCCAUUCUCCCAGGGAACACCCAGAGUUCCACUCCAGCCCUGGCAACGCUGCAGCAGAGGCCAACUGUACGGAAAGUCUACAUUGGCUCGGAACAAUUGAGGCUGGGAGAGGCUGGUGAUUUCCUGCUUGGUCGUCUUUUAAAACCCAGCCAUCUGAAUCCGAGAGUUGCUUCUUCAGCAAGGCCUCCCCUGACUCCUUCAGAUGUCUAAGCACCACCCCUACUCUUCUGCUGCAGCAUCUCCACUUGCUUUUGUCCUUCAUCUCCCUGAAAUUAUUUGCUUACUCAUCCAUCCAUGUCAGUUGCAAAAGCAUGACUUCCUCUAGUCCAAAGGCCAUUCAUGUUCAAUAUGUUAGCACUCGGAGCGUCUCCAGUGGUUGUUUCAAACAAGGCAAAUGAGUUCAGUUGAACUUUAUAUGUUCUGCCCUCCGACUGUGACUGUUAUUUACUUCCCUCCAAACAAAAUGUAAUAAUAAAAUGACUAACUGAA